UACACUCCUACGGGAGGCAGCAGUGGGGAAUAUUGGACAAUGGGCGCAAGCCUGAUCCAGCCAUGCCGCGUGAGUGAUGAAGGCCCUAGGGUUGUAAAGCUCUUUCACCGGUGAAGAUAAUGACGGUAACCGGAGAAGAAGCCCCGGCUAACUUCGUGCCAGCAGCCGCGGUAAUACGAAGGGGGCUAGCGUUGUUCGGAUUUACUGGGCGUAAAGCGCACGUAGGCGGACUAUUAAGUCAGGGGUGAAAUCCCGGGGCUCAACCCCGGAACUGCCUUUGAUACUGGUAGUCUUGAGUUCGAGAGAGGUGAGUGGAAUUCCGAGUGUAGAGGUGAAAUUCGUAGAUAUUCGGAGGAACACCAGUGGCGAAGGCGGCUCACUGGCUCGAUACUGACGCUGAGGUGCGAAAGCGUGGGGAGCAAACAGGAUUAGAAACCCCAGUAGUCC
rnacentral:rRNA from 1 species